rnacentral:lncRNA from 1 species
AUGGGGCACUUUGAGCUCUCCUGGACCACAGCAAGCCUGCAACCAGCAUCUCCCUCUGAGUGGGACGCCUCUCAGAGCCAGCAGACCCUGAGGUUUGCUAUACCUGGAGGAUCGCUGAAUCACGACGUGUCCUGGGCCGAUACCUUCUCUCUUCGAGGCCUGAUCCUUCACCCAUCAGGAGAUACAAAAGCAUCCAAAGUGUUUACCUCCAAGAUUUAUUCAAGUGACUGGAAGGACAGAUGACCUUUCCUCUUUCUGCAAGUUAUUUUGAUAGCAGACAAAAGAAGGCUCCCAUUUCAAGACGUCAUGCAAGAGGAUGUCUGUCUUCUUUAUGAGUUGUACUACUAAGCAACUAUGCCUCUUGCAGUGCUGGAUGUCUUGGAUUUGUUUUGGAGAAAAAAAUAACAACAAACCACCAUCCACCCUAUCCCUUCCUAUUUUCUUCACUAAAUCUCUGUGAAAUGAGAUGCUUACAGUGCCUCAAGUAAAAUGUGACAUAUUUAAGAGAAUGGGGAAUCAGUAUCUGCAAAAAGAAUAGCAGAUGAUUCAAAUACAGUUCAAUUUUAGUUAUUUAUGGGGUGUCAAUUGUGUUGAAGUUGAAGCUGAUCAAAUUAGACAAUAGUAUUUUUGCCUACACCACAGGCAGCAGUUUCACUUGUUCACAGACUACAUAUAAUAAUUAAACAGACAGUAUGUUCAGAAUUCAGGGGGGUGUGCUGUUACUUAGGGAAGCAAAGUACUUAACAAAUAUUACAAUAUGUGAACUAUCAGGAAAUUUGAUAGAAGCUAAUGCAUUCUCCAAGCUCUAAAAUUAAGCUGCCUAUUUAUGUACUGGCAUAUAGAUUUAGGAGCUAUAUCUGGAGUCUUUUAAGGCCAACAUAAAGAAGUCAAGAUUUAUCCACAAACUUACACCCAGAAAUGUGCAACCACCUAACUGUGUAUGAAGACUAAUACUAACUCCUGCUAACAGCAUUGAAACUUUGAAGUUUAUUUACUGUGUUUAGGAAAAUCAGGGUGUACUUUAUAUUCACCAAGAAUUUGGUUUAUUUAUUGGCAUCCGUUUUUUCUACAAUUAUUUUUCACACAGCAUCAUCCAGUCAAUUUUUUUUUUCAAUCCAUGGCAAAUAAAGACUAGACAGGUGUUCAGAUUUAAUGAACUGGUGUCUUAAAUAAAAGCUGUUGUGGAAAGAAAGUCGUAAAGAGGAAAUUUUAUAACUGAUCUGCCAAAGUAAUAUUUACAAGAUUUUUAUUUCCAGUGAAGAACUAAUGCUAACUGUUUUUUGGGAGAAGAAUUUUGGUCUGUUUUAGUUCCUGCAUCUAUGAAUGUAAUGUACAUCCUAUGGAUUGGAGUAACACAGGAGUAGUGACUACAGAACUGUGGAGUUAUGCUGCAAAAUAGUAAGUCACAGACCUGACUGCCAAGAUGUGCACAAAAGGUUGAGAAUUGGUAGUAAUACCUGUACAUUUUUUUUUCUUCAGUUAUGUGUGUGCAGUAAAAUAUCUGACAACAUAGUUAUUGAAGAAGUGUUUAUUGAAUAUAAGUGUCUGGGAGGGCACUACUAUGGUGUGGGUUUUCUUCUACUAUGAAACCACACAUUUGGGGUAUUUGGUAGCGUGGAGACGAGGGAGGAAGAAAUGAAAAUCUUUGACUUUCUUGUUGUCAGGCUAGAGACAGCUGCACAGUUUAUAUCCCUUUCAUUACCUAGCCUUCAAAUCUUCUGUGGUUCUGUGAUCUCUAGACAGGAUAGGUUGAGGUGUCCUACCAUUACAGUGAACAUACAUAUACUGAAAAACAGAAUGGAUAGCUAAUAUCAUAUUAUGUGGAGAAGAAAUCAAAGCAUCAGUGAUAAAAGUGGGCUGAGAGCAGAAAGUAGGCUUCUUUAUGUGUACAUGAGCAAAUGUUGGUUUGCUUUAGUGUUUAUGUGGAUAGGUAACUGGCCUGAAAAGCUGUGUUAUAAGGUAGUCAGGGUCUGCUUAUUCCUUGCAAGAGCUGGAUCCUCAGGCAUUUUCUGUUGAGCAACCAAUUUUGUGGUUCCUCCACUCAAGGAAAUGCUUAUCUGUCAGUCCUUGUGAAUUAUGUGGAAGGUGUUGAGUGAUGUGCUUGGAGAAAUGUGGAGGGGUUUGAGUUUGGGGUUUUGUUGACCAUUUUUUAAUUGGCUUGGUAGAGAGUUUGGGAUUUUUUUGUUUGUUUGUUUGUUUGUUUGUUUGACUUUAUCAUCCUGACUGUUUUGGAAUAUUACACCAACUUUCUUGCAACAGAAGACACAUUUUAGUCUUUUAGACCAGUUUGUAACAACCAACCUAAAACCAACUCUCUGAAGCUUGGUAAAGUUACCAGCUGUGCAGAUCCAGCUACACAUGAGCCGAAAGGGUGCUGAGGUUUAGAAGCUUCCAUGAGAGCUCCCAUUUGAUUAAGUUGACAUUCAGCACCUAUUCAUCUUCAAGACUGACCUAUGGCCAGAAACCCCCCCUCUUUUUUCUCUCACAUCUAUACUAAAACUUGCAAGUACUUGUAAAGAAAGUCCAGAUAUCACAAAAGGAUUUCCCAAUAUUAUUCUCAUCUUACUGGCAACGUACUUUUAAUCAACAUAGACUCCUCUUUUUCCUUUUCCAGCUUCAUCUGUUGCUACAAGCAUUUUUGUAUUGGGUUCUGUGGAACUCUCCAGGGAAGUUUGCCACUUGUUCGGUCUCUGGCUGCCUUCUCUCAGGGGGAAAUAACUGUGCAGGGCUGUAAGAACUGGAGCUCUUGGGUGAGAGUUCCAAAGCAAAUAGAGAAAUUGCAGAAACUCUCAGGAAUUUAAGAACAGAAGAAAAAUAGCAAAGGUUAACUAGUCAGGUAAAUUCAUUUUAGAAAUAUAUUUUUUUCAUCUUAAAUCUUGCAGACAAGUUGUCUACCGUCUUAGCUUUUUAUUUAUCUUUCUCAAUGCUAGAUAAAGAAUGGUCUUCAAAUUCUUAUGGUAUUUGGUACCCAUACAGGUCAGUUGCUGUGGCCAAGGAAGUUACAGCGGAUGUAUAUAGAGACCUCAAACCUUGAAACCUACAUAAUAUGGAAAGUGAAAGGAAAACUCCAGGGCACAGAAGAGCACAGAAAUCCAAAGCCUUAAUAAAGGUUUUCAGAUUUUUUGCACUAUAACUUGAUGGAGUCAAAGAGGUUACUUUGGACAAAAGAUAGCUUGGGCCAAAGGCACUAUCUCAGUAUAGUGUAAAAAUUGUACUAAUAAAAUUAAUACACUGACAUAUCAGCCUUUU